rnacentral:lncRNA from 1 species
AUGCUAACCACGCAUGCUACAGAGGUGGAGGGAGGUGAGUUUCUGUCUUAGCUGAGUAUUUGUGCAAUUAUUCGCCUUCAUGUGGGAUAGUGGAAUGAACGAUUGCUCAAUCUGGACCUGGGAAUGUUAAAGUUACAGGUAAUUCGUCCCCUGAAGAUCUAGAAUAACGCGUUUUUUCCUUUGGGGUGGAGCGCCUGGUACACACGUGGAUCGUCUCCGUGUGGAGGAAGCGUUCAGGUAGUUCCACUUCAUUCUGAAAGAUGCUGCUAUUAAAUUUAAAGGACAGUCUUAGACUUGACUGGAAAACUUUUUACAGAAUUAGUCUGUCGGUAGAUGUAGAUGUGACUGUUAGUGGUCUGUAUUUCUUAUUUUUAUAGGAACACACAUUCGUGGCUAAUCUUCACUAAAGACUGAAGUGCAUACCAUUUUUUGUGUUUGUUGUAUAGGAUUUCACUGGAGGAAGCCCUUUCCUGAAAUACCAUGACCUUCAGAUGUAAGCUUAUGUAAAUAUCUGUGGAAUCUCAGACGCAGAUGAUGGUCUGAGUGACCUGCAGACUCUGAAGACCAGCCUGAUAUUGGUAGGUUUACCCUCCCCUCUGUUCCCAAACAGCGUGAUUCUUACACUGAGCACAACGGUUUCCUUCUUGAGGCAUGGCCGAAUUCUGCUCCAGCUGAUCUGUGCUGGAUGCAGUCAGACACCAUGCAAAAGAAAAGCCUCCUUCCCGCUAAAUGAGCAGACGAGCACCUCCGAUGGUCUUGUCCAGCUGCACAGGAUCGAGUACAAGUGCUCAAUAGGAUAUCCAUUGUGAGUUUAUAUUGACUGUUUUCUUUUGUUUGAAUUUUGCAGGGAAGACUUGAACGGACUGAGGGAAAACUCCCGUCGAGGUAAUUAUGAUCAGUGUCUUAAUGUUUUCAAUUUCUUUUUACCAACGCAGUAUUCUGCAAUUUAACAUAAGAUUGUUCUGACUUGUUCAAAUGGAAUUGUGUCUUUUCUGAAAUAAUAAAAAUG